rnacentral:rRNA from 1 species
CGCCUCUUGCUAAACCAUAAGAGGUCCCGCCUGCCCUGUGACAAUGUUCAACGGCCGCGGUAUUUUGACCGUGCAAAGGUAGCGUAAUCACUUGUCUUUUAAAUGAAGACCCGUAUGAAAGGCACCACGAGAGUUUAACUGUCUCUAUUUUCUAAUCAAUGAAAUUGAUCUAUUCGUGCAGAAGCGAAUAUAAUAACAUUAGACGAGAAGACCCUAUGGAGCUUCAAACACUUAAAUUAACUAUGUAACCCUAUACCUCUAAGGACAUAAACAACACAUACAAUAUUUCUAAUUUAACUGUUUUUGGUUGGGGUGACCAAGGGGGAAAACAAAUCCCCCUUAUCGACUGAGUACUAAGUACUUAAAAAUUAGAAUAACAGUUCUAAUUAAUAAAAUAUUUAUCGAAAAAUGACCCAGGAUUUCCUGAUCAAUGAACCAAGUUACCCUAGGGAUAACAGCGCAAUCCUUUCUCAGAGUCCCUAUCGAAGAAAGGGUUUACGACCUCGAUGUUGGAUCAGGACAUCCUAAUGGUGCAACCGCUAUUAAGGGUUCGUUUGUUCAACGAUUAACAGUCCU